rnacentral:rRNA from 1 species
CCUACGGGAGGCAGCAGUGGGGAAUAUUGCGCAAUGGGGGCAACCCUGACGCAGCCACGCCGCGUGAAUGACGAAGGUCUUCGGAUUGUAAAGUUCUUUCGACCGUGAAGAUAAUGACGGUAGCUAACGAAUAAGCACCGGCCAACUCCGUGCCAGCAGCCGCGGUAAUACGGAGGGUGCGAGCGUUGUUCGGAAUGACUGGGCGUAAAGUGGGUGUAGGCGGGUUUGUAAGUCAGCAGUGAAAUCCUAGGGCUCAACCAUAGAACUGCCAUUAAGACUAUUAUUCUAGAGUAUGGGAGAGGAUAGCAGAAUUCCUGGUGUAGGGGUGAAAUCCGUAGAUAUCAGGAGGAAUACCGAUAGCGAAGGCGGCAAUCUGGC